rnacentral:rRNA from 1 species
AUUGAACGCUGGCGGCAUGCCUAACACAUGCAAGUCGAACGGCAGCACGGCAGUAGCAAUACUGUGGGUGGCGAGUGGCGGACGGGUGAGGAAUACGUCGGAAUCUGCCCAGUCGUGGGGGAUAACUAGCCGAAAGGUUAGCUAAUACCGCAUACGACCGAGAGGUGAAAGCGGGGGACCGCAAGGCCUCGCGCGAUUGGAUGAGCCGACGUCGGAUUAGCUAGUUGGAGGGGUAAAGGCCCACCAAGGCGACGAUCCGUAGCUGGUCUGAGAGGAUGAUCAGCCACACUGGAACUGAGACACGGUCCAGACUCCUACGGGAGGCAGCAGUGGGGAAUAUUGGACAAUGGGCGCAAGCCUGAUCCAGCAAUGCCGCGUGUGUGAAGAAGGCCUCGG